UGGAAAAGAUACUUGCCAGCAUUGAAAUUCGCCAGAGAACAAGGUCUUUUUGUAACCCUUCAUUGUGGAGAGGUGCGCCAAUCUUUUAUUGUACCUGUUACCUGUGGUGAUUACCUGACUGGUCUGUUUUGCUUGUUUCGUGCUUUUAGGUUCCUAAUUCAAAGGAGAUACAAGACAUGCUCGAUUUUGUUCCCCAUAAUCGGACAUGCUUGUUUCUUUGAGGAGGAACACUGGAGAAAGUUGAAGUCUACUAACAUUUCCGGUUGAAAUUUAUUUGCUUGCUCACGUCCAUUGCUGCAACACAGGCAAGCAGCUUUGAAUAGCGUGAAAGGCUCACUUGGAGAUUAACUAGCAUUUAGAUCCGUCGUGAUUCCCCCUCCAUUCUAUGAAAUUUAAUGAAUUAAUAACAAAAGACUGAAAAUAUUGGCAAAACAUAGGCCAAAUAUCUAUUAAUAUAUAAUAAGAAUAUAGUUGUGGUAUUUGCUCGACAAGUGGAGUGUUCUGUGUUUGCCACGUGGAGCUGUGUAUGAUUGACAAGUGACUUUCAAGAAGAGAAUAUGAGAGAGAGAGUUGCCAGUUCUGAUAGGGGGAGUAGUUGGCACCAGACUUCCUCUUUCAAUGUCGCAGAGAAGAGAAGAAGAAAAGGUCGGUAAAGAAAUAAAGCACGACGGAAGAAGUGGUGGGUGGCGAUGACAACGACGGUCACAGAGAAGGAUGCUAGAUCGACAGAGAAAAGAAGAGGAAUGAGGCGGCGACGGCGGUGAUGGAGGUUACCGACGCUGUUGGAUCCAUAGAACUGCAUCUACCGCAGAAUGCCGUCGCAGCCGUUCCUUUGCCAGUGGAUGCUGCGAAUGAAGGAUGAACAUCUGAGGUGGUGAUUGACCUGCAAUUGCAAGUAAAAUUUUUAGUCUCUAUAAUUCUUUGUUGUGGUCUCUGAUGGAGUCUUUGAUUAUGCCAACAAUGUCCUCCAGGAACAACUUCUCCGACAAAGCUCAAGGUGUGAAAUCUGCUGCAACGUGCUCCGGCUGAAGUUGCACCUGCCAAAGCGAUCCUCGAUUGCGGUUUAAUAGAAGAAGGCAGAGAUAAUAGGAGAUGUAUUCAUCCUAAUUUUGUAUUAUUGCUGAAAGUUUUCAAUUGCUCUCUCUUGCCUUUUGUGUUGUUCUUCGCUCCCCCUCUGAUUUGAACUUCUGUGUUUUCAAUUUCUUGAUCAGCUUAGAUGAUAUUGCUUGAGUUGUUCACCGUUCAAUUUGUCCCAUUGAUCUUUGGAGGUGAUGUAGUUAUUGUGCUACUAAUAAUUGAAAUUUUAAUUAUUAUAAUCGACAGAGUAUGGAAAUGACUAUGAGAUUAGCAAAUAUAUAAUUAUUUGUUGCACAUUAAAGAUACAAGAACUUCUUAAUCUAAGGUUUAGUCACUGAUUAUUAUUCAACUUUGUUGGCCAAUUAUAAAUAAUUUUACUUCAUUAAAACUGUCAUUGCAGUGUUGUUUAGCGAGCACAAAAACCAAGUUCAUGGUAUAUAAUUAUAUCACUGGCUUUGUUGCAUGUUUGGUUCUUCUUCUUAAACUAUGUUUUGUUAGUAUUAUUGUUAUUGUUCGUGUUGAAGCUUGAUAUGAUUUGUUUUAUGUUCCUGGUGGGUUAAGUAGGAGAUCACAAAGAGACAUAUUAUAUUUGUCAUGUAGUUAGAUGCAAAUUAUAGCCUUUUUUACAAAGGAUUUAUGUAUAAUGUUAGUGUUUAUCAGUAUAAAAAGAAAGUCUUCACAUGUUGGGAGAAUGUAGAGAAAUGGAGAAAGAAUUUAUCAGUUUAAUUACUCAUGUUGAAAAUAAAGCAAUUUUUUUUUUUAAUUGAAAUGAUUGGGUGUGUUCUUAGUCCAAUAUAAAUUAUCUAUCACCAACAACCAUAGUUUCACCAAUUUUGUUCAUAGAUUCUAAUUUUUAGUAUUCUUAAAUCUUUGAACUAAAUUUGAAAUUAAGAUAUUUCAAGGAAUUACAAUAUGAGGGAACCAAAAGCAUGAGA